UUUUUAUCUAAGGUGCUCAAAACAUUUUUGCCAAUAUUACACCUAGUUCCUACUUCCCCUUCACAACCUUCCCCACAACUAUGGGAGGAAAAACAAGCUUUUUGUAGGAAGGAUGUCUCCUCUGCAUAUUGAUAUAAGUCUGAGUACAACUUUAGGAAAAUAACUUUCCAAAGAAGGUGUGGGUGGGGACUCCUGGGAUUCUCCAGGGCGCCAGAUCCUCCAAGCACACCACACCGGUAAAGGCCGUGCUCCACCACUUCAAAGGCCGUGCGGUAGAGUUCAUCUUGGCAGACAUGGAUGCUACCAAGAAGAGCAAUUCUUCAUUUGGGCCAGGAACCAAAAGGGAGAAUUCAGAAGGGAGAGUAAGAAGACAUUUUCCCAUCCAGAUAUAAGUCCGGCCCAAACCUCCUUUCUUCAACGAAAGCUUCCACGUGACCUCUCCUCUUCCUGGUGGCCUGCAGUACUUCUUUGAUGACAUAUCCUGACACCUGAUUAAACUCUACACCAGACCAACUAGAUGUGGCCAGACCACAGCCUCCUUUUCUAUACCUCAUAAGUUCUAGUACCAUUUUGGGCAUUCAGCUGAUGGUCAAAUUGUUUUUUCUUCAAAAAACAAUAGCUUUAUUUUCAUUAUGAUUAUAAACAUGUUACAGGGUCAUUAUUUUAAAACUCAAACCAUACAGAAAAGUGUGAAGAAAAAAGUAAAACCUCAACACUGAGAGAAAACCACUAAUAACAUUUUGGUAAACCUCUUUUCAAACAUAUUUGUAUGCAUGUAAACCUACACAGACAUAAAGAUAUGUAAUUUUAUAUAUAUGGUAUACCAUAUCAUGCUGUUCUGCAACUUGAGACAAUAAUUAUAGAUUUGAAAUGUC